CUCGGGACACAGGCGUGGAUCAGAUCCUUGAACUUCUCCAUCGUCGAUGACUGGAGGGCAUGGCAUCUCGAUGGCCAAGCUGCAGGAUUUACGAUAGCAUACGCAAACAACUUGACAUUUGCAACCAUAAAGGGUGGUGGUCAUACUGCUCCAGAGU